AAUCUACCUUGUACAGGGGAAUAGCCCAGAGAACUUUGGAUUAAUGCCCCAUAGUAUAAUUGAAUCGCAUGGUUUAAUUAUUAAAGUUCCAACGGUACAAGAUGAGCAUGCGUCCCAUUAGUUAGUUGGUAAGGUAACGGCUUACCAAGACAAUGAUGGGUAGGGGUCCUGAGAGGGAGAUCCCCCACACUGGUACUGAGACACGGACCAGACUCCUACGGGAGGCAGCAGUGAGGAAUAUUGGUCAAUGGGCGCAAGCCUGAACCAGCCAUGCCGCGUGCAGGAAGACGGUCCUAUGGAUUGUAAACUGCUUUUAUACAGGAAGAAACAACUCUACGUGUAGAGUCUUGACGGUACUGUAGGAAUAAGGAUCGGCUAACUCCGUGCCAGCAGCCGCGGUAAUACGGAGGAUCCAAGCGUUAUCCGGAAUCAUUGGGUUUAAAGGGUCCGUAGGCGGUCUUAUAAGUCAGUGGUGAAAUCUCCUAGCUCAACUAGGAAACUGCCAUUGAUACUGUAAGACUUGAAUUUUUGUGAAGUAACUAGAAUAUGUAGUGUAGCGGUGAAAUGCUUAGAUAUUACAUGGAAUACCAAUUGCGAAGGCAGGUUACUAACAAACGAUUGACGCUGAUGGACGAAAGCGUGGGGAGCGAACAGGAUUAGAUACCCUGGUAGUCCACGCCGUAAACGAUGGAUACUAGCUGUUCGGAGCAAUCUGAGUGGCUAAGCGAAAGUGAUAAGUAUCCCACCUGGGGAGUACGCACGCA
rnacentral:rRNA from 1 species